rnacentral:rRNA from 1 species
GUAAUAAUCCUGUAGUCGAAAAUGUUGUCUCUCUUGAGUGGAUCCUGAGUACGACGGAGCACGUGAAAUUCCGUCGGAAUCUGGGAGGACCAUCUCCUAAGGCUAAAUACUCUCUAGUGACCGAUAGUGAACCAGUACCGUGAGGGAAAGGUGAAAAGCACCCCGGAAGGGGAGUGAAAUAGAACCUGAAACCGUGUGCUUACAAGUAGUCAGAGCCCGUUAAUGGGUGAUGGCGUGCCUUUUGUAGAAUGAACCGGCGAGUUACGAUUUGAUGCAAGGUUAAGCAGUAAAUGUGGAGCCGUAGCGAAAGCGAGUCUGAAUAGGGCGUUUAGUAUUUGGUCGUAGACCCGAAACCAGGUGAUCUACCCUUGGUCAGGUUGAAGUUCAGGUAACACUGAAUGGAGGACCGAACCGACUUACGUUGAAAAGUGAGCGGAUGAACUGAGGGUAGCGGAGAAAUUCCAAUCGAACCUGGAGAUAGCUGGUUCUCUCCGAAAUAGCUUUAGGGCUAGCCUCAAGUGAUGAUUAUUGGAGGUAGAGCACUGUUUGGACGAGGGGCCCCUCUCGGGUUACCGAAUUCAGACAAACUCCGAAUGCCAAUUAAUUUAACUUGGGAGUCAGAACAUGGGUGAUAAGGUCCGUGUUCGAAAGGGAAACAGCCCAGACCACCAGCUAAGGUCCCAAAAUAUAUGUUAAGUGGAAAAGGAUGUGGCGUUGCCCAGACAACUAGGAUGUUGGCUUAGAAGCAGCCAUCAUUUAAAGAGUGCGUAAUAGCUCACUAGUCGAGUGACACUGCGCCGAAAAUGUACCGGGGCUAAACAUAUUACCGAAGCUGUGGAUUGUCCUUUGGACAAUGGUAGGAGAGCGUUCUAAGGGCGUUGAAGCAUGAUCGUAAGGACAUGUGGAGCGCUUAGAAGUGAGAAUGCCGGUGUGAGUAGCGAAAGACGGGUGAGAAUCCCGUCCACCGAUUGACUAAGGUUUCCAGAGGAAGGCUCGUCCGCUCUGGGUUAGUCGGGUCCUAAGCUGAGGCCGACAGGCGUAGGCGAUGGAUAACAGGUUGAUAUUCCUGUACCACCUAUAAUCGUUUUAAUCGAUGGGGGGACGCAGUAGGAUAGGCGAAGCGUGCGAUUGGAUUGCACGUCUAAGCAGUAAGGCUGAGUAUUAGGCAAAUCCGGUACUCGUUAAGGCUGAGCUGUGAUGGGGAGAAGACAUUGUGUCUUCGAGUCGUUGAUUUCACACUGCCGAGAAAAGCCUCUAGAUAGAAAAUAGGUGCCCGUACCGCAAACCGACACAGGUAGUCAAGAUGAGAAUUCUAAGGUGAGCGAGCGAACUCUCGUUAAGGAACUCGGCAAAAUGACCCCGUAACUUCGGGAGAAGGGGUGCUCUUUAGGGUUAACGCCCAGAAGAGCCGCAGUGAAUAGGCCCAAGCGACUGUUUAUCAAAAACACAGGUCUCUGCUAAACCGUAAGGUGAUGUAUAGGGGCUGACGCCUGCCCGGUGCUGGAAGGUUAAGAGGAGUGGUUAGCUUCUGCGAAGCUACGAAUCGAAGCCCCAGUAAACGGCGGCCGUAACUAUAACGGUCCUAAGGUAGCGAAAUUCCUUGUCGGGUAAGUUCCGACCCGCACGAAAGGCGUAACGAUUUGGGCACUGUCUCAACGAGAGACUCGGUGAAAUCAUAGUACCUGUGAAGAUGCAGGUUACCCGCGACAGGACGGAAAGACCCCGUGGAGCUUUACUGUAGCCUGAUAUUGAAAUUCGGCACAGCUUGUACAGGAUAGGUAGGAGCCUUUGAAACGUGAGCGCUAGCUUACGUGGAGGCGCUGGUGGGAUACUACCCUAGCUGUGUUGGCUUUCUAACCCGCACCACUUAU